AUCCUUUUCCUUUAUUUGUUUCUAUUUUUAGCCAUAACAAAAAUUUUGUUUUUCAUAUCUAAUCAUUCAUUUAUUUCUAUCUAAUUUGCCAUAACAAAUUUUUUUGUUUUUAAGUUAAAUGCAUACCCUAUGAGUAUAUAGGUUGUCUUACAGAGGUUUUGUUAGGAAAAUGAGAAAAAUAUAACAAGAUUGAUACCGUCCUG
rnacentral:lncRNA from 1 species